GACGAACGCUGGCGGCGUGCUUAACACAUGCAAGUCGAACGCUGAAGCUCAGCUUGCUGGGUGGAUGAGUGGCGAACGGGUGAGUAACACGUGAGUAACCUGCCCUCUUCUUUGGGAUAACGCCCGGAAACGGGUGCUAAUACUGGAUAUUCACUGAUUCUCGCAUGGGGGUUGGUGGAAAGGUUUUUUCUGGUGGGGGAUGGGCUCGCGGCCUAUCAGCUUGUUGGUGGGGUGAUGGCCUACCAAGGCUUUGACGGGUAGCCGGCCUGAGAGGGUGACCGGUCACAUUGGGACUGAGAUACGGCCCAGACUCCUACGGGAGGCAGCAAUGGGGAAUAUUGCACAAUGGGCGAAAGCCUGAUGCAGCGACGCCGCGUGAGGGAUGGAGGCCUUCGGGUUGUAAACCUCUUUCGCUCAUGGUCAAGCCGCAGCUUUGGGUUGUGGUGAGGGUAGUGGGUAAAGAAGCGCCGGCUAACUACGUG
rnacentral:rRNA from 1 species